UUGGUAAUGUUGUCAUGUAAGAGCUUGCUCUAACAACAAGCUCUUACAUGACAACAUUACCAA
rnacentral:miRNA from 1 species